rnacentral:rRNA from 1 species
UACGGGGGGAGCAAGCGUUGUUCGGAUUUACUGGGCGUAAAGGGCGCGUAGGCGGCCACCGCAAGUCGACUGUGAAAUCUCCGGGCUUAACCCGGAAAGGUCAGCCGAUACUGCGGGGCUAGAGUGCAGAAGGGGCAACUGGAAUUCUCGGUGUAGCGGUGAAAUGCGUAGAUAAUCGAGAGGAACACCUGCGGCGAAGGCGGGUUGCUGGGCUGACACUGACGCUGAGGCGCGAAAGCCAGGGGAGCGAACGGG